ACUCCUACGGGAGGCAGCAGUGGGGAAUAUUGCACAAUGGGGGAAACCCUGAUGCAGCCAUGCCGCGUGUGUGAAGAAGGCCUUCGGGUUGUAAAGCACUUUCAGUAGGGAGGAAGGUAGUGUAGUUAACACCUGCACUAUUUGACGUUACCUACAGAAGAAGCACCGGCUAACUCCGUGCCAGCAGCCGCGGUAAUACGGAGGGUGCGAGCGUUAAUCGGAAUUACUGGGCGUAAAGCGCAUGCAGGCGGCCUGUUAAGUCAGAUGUGAAAGCCCGGGGCUUAACCUCGGAAUUGCAUUUGAAACUGGCAGGCUAGAGUCUUGUAGAGGGGGGUAGAAUUUCAGGUGUAGCGGUGAAAUGCGUAGAGAUCUGAAGGAUACCAGUGGCGAAGGCGGCCCCCUGGACAAAGACUGACGCUCAGAUGCGAAAGCGUGGGGAGCAAACAGGAUUAGAUACCCUGGUAGCACAGAG
rnacentral:rRNA from 1 species